GGCGGGUGACAGCGGUAGGGUGAAGAGCCGCAACGUGUGGGAGGGCCCUACGGUCGUAAAGCACUUUCGCCAGAGAUGAUAAUGACAGUAUCUGGUAAAGAAACCCCGGCUAACUCCGUGCCAGCAGCCGCGGUAAUACGGAGGGGGUUAGCGUUGUUCGGAAUUACUGGGCGUAAAGCGCACGUAGGCGGAUUAGUAAGUUAGAGGUGAAAUCCCAGGGCUCAACCCUGGAACUGCCUUUAAUACUGCUAGUCUUGAGUUCGAGAGAGGUAAGUGGAAUUCCGAGUGUAGAGGUGAAAUUCGUAGAUAUUCGGAGGAACACCAGUGGCGAAGGCGGCUUACUGGCUCGAUACUGACGCUGAGGUGCGAAAGUGUGGGGAGCAAACAGGAUUAGAUACCCUGGUAGUCCACACCGUAAACGAUGAAUGCCAGACGUCAGCAAGUAUACUUGUUGGUGUCACACCUAACGGAUUAAGCAUUC
rnacentral:rRNA from 1 species